UUUCUCACACUAUUCAUAUCUCUCACUCUCUCUCUCUCUCUUAUACAUCUUCAUGAUCAGUUCGUUCACCAGAAUACACCGCCAUCGCCAACUUCAUCUUGAACUCCUCUACCGAUUGAAGAUCUGAAUGGAGAUGAUCCGUUGUUGAUCGAGAAUACAAAGUGCAUCUGAUCUCUACCGCUCUGUUUCUGUCUAAAGCACUUUACCUAGCCUUUUGAACGAUCCCUUUGGUUCCUGAUGCCUCGUUUGAUGUUCAUGCAUCUUUCAUAAAUGAAUCUCCAUAUCAACAACAAAAAAAUCACAACCGACUCAACAUCUUCAAAUCGGACAGAUCCAUCAUCUGCGAUCCUCAUCUCACCGUCGCUACCGGUGGCCUAGCGCGGUAAAGUGAUUCUGACUCUUCAACGGUCAUGAAUUUUAGAAAAGAUAAAUCCCUAACUCUCGAUACCGAUCUCAAUUUUCCUCCACCGGAAGUUGCUUGAACGGAGGUUUUUUCUUUUCUGCAUUUCUUUGGUUUUUUGGAUCAGAUUUCACUUUUGUUUUUUCCAGCAGUACCAAAUUAAGGUGACAAUCUCUAUGCUUGGAUAGAGACCUAGCUCAAUUAUAAUGCUAGAAAAGACUCUAGUGUGCUUCCUUUUGUUGGAUCAGACUUGGUUUUAAGCCCGACACAGUGGAGUAGUCAUGUUGUUGGUUCUUCAGGAGACCGUGGCAAGGCGAAGGCAUGAUCGUACCGCUCCUCAUGAUUUUGUAGUAAUGUGAUUCUGGGAAUACGUUAAAUGCUUUGUAUUGAAAACCUUUUUGUAAAGAUUUAAUGGAAUCGAGUUGUUUUUGAAAAAUUUAAAAAUGGUUGUAUUUUUUGGUUGUUACAAGUUGGUAUCAGAGCCUUGGUUUGAGUGAAUUGGAGAAACACUCGUGUGACUCCUGUCUCAAAUCGAGGAGAGUUUUCAAAAGAGAGAUUAAAAUGGUUUUCAAAAUUAGUAAAGGAGGACGCAGAGGUACGAUCAGCCGGAGCCAGUAAGUAACCCCAAAAUACCAUGCGUGUUAUUUGUCUUUGAGCUUUGAUAGAAUAGCAUGCUAGUGAUAGGCUAGGGAUCUUCAGGAUUUCAUGAUAAUGUUGACUGAUUUGUGAUGCCUGUAACCUAGGGUUUCCUUAUGGGAGAUUUUCAGUGUUCCUCUAGUGGUGAGGGUUGAGUGUUGUUAUGUAUGUUUCUCUAGGGUGUUGUGGUAGUACUUCAUACAAAUAUGGGUAGGUGUGGAAGGUAGUAUGGGCCCGUACUACUGAAAGCACAGGACCCCAUACGCGUAUCAGGGAAAUCAUUAUCUCUAGGGUUGGGUUGAGAGAGUUGGAUCCCAGGAUAGUGGGAAGAGUCUGAGAUUUUGUGUGGUGUUUUUCAGUAUGGAGAUUCUGAGGCAUGAUGAGAGUGGAUCCGGAUCAGGAUCGAGAGCAGGAGAGGGAGUUUUGGGCGGGUCAGUACCGCCCGAGGUUAUCGGUCAGAUGAGCAUGUGCGAGUUGGAUGCGAGGAUUCGUGAGAUCCUGCGUGAUGAGAUUGCUGAGUUGUUCCGGGUUGAGUUGCCGGAGCUGUUUGGGUCGAUCAAGACCGCCAUGGUCGAGUAUUUUGAUGAGCGCUAUGUGGCUCUCACAGAGACGGCUGCCACGGCGGCUAUAGCAGCUGUAGCAGCGGCAGGGGGAGGAGCUGGUCAGGGCGUUCAGCAUCAAGACUUCGACAAUACGAAACCUCCCACCUUUGAUGGAGUUCAGGACUCGAUUGUUGCUAUGAGAUGGUUAUCGGACAUGGAGGGGUGUUUCUUCACAUGUUCAUGCGUUGCUGAUCAGAGGGUGAGGUGUGCUCUGAACCUGUUGAGGCUCGAGGUGAAGGAUUGGUGGAGAUUGACCACGGGGUCAUAUUCAGAUGCGCAGAGGGCUGCGGUUUCAUGGGAUCAGUUCAGGGAGAUGUUCAACACUCGUUAUGUUCCGCAUGUUGAGAGGGAGAGAUUGGCUCAGGAGUUCCUUGAGCUGAAGCAGGGUUCGGAGUCGGUGACUGAGAUCACCAGGAUGUUCACUGAGAGGGCGAUAUUUUGCCUAGAGUUCGCUUCAGAGCAGGCUCAGAUGUCUUGAUAUCUGAGCAUGCUCAAGAGGGACAUCAGACAGUUUGUGUCUGCGCAGAGGUGCGAGACCUUAUUGGAGUUGCAGGAGGCCGCUAGGCGGCGUGAGUUAGAGAUUGAGUUGCAGUUGCGUGAGCUGAGACAGGCUCCGGUGCAGUCGCAGCCGGCGCCGAAACGGUCCAAGACCGUUGAUGUUAGAGUGGGGGAUCUGAGCAGCCACACUUUUGGGAAGUGUGGGAGGGGUCACACCGGAGUUUGUAGGUCCGGUGGUGCAUGCCGCAAGUGCGGAAAGGAGGGGCACUAUGCGAGGGAUUGUCGGCAGUCGACGCCGGUUUGGGAUUUGAGGAUUUGUUAUCAUUGUCAUCAGAUUGGACAUUUGAGGGUCAACUAUCCAUAGCUUGCUGCAGGAACGGUGCAAGCUCCAGCACCGGCCACUUUGAGGAUCACGGGUGGAGGUCAGGGUGGAGCAGAGCCCCCAAGGGCUCAGGGUCGUGCUUAUUAGCUUGCGGCAGAGGAGGUCAGAGCAGUGCCGGAUGCAGCUGCGGGUAUGUUUUUUUCUUGAUAUCUUGUUAUCUUGUGAUUAUUGUGGUGUUUUGUUUAUGUGCUGGUAUCUUUGUGUGGUUUUCGAUGCAGUAUUCGUCGUUUUGAGAGUUUUGGGUUGGUUAUGGGUUGUUGUUUUGGGAACUUCGUUGGUUAUCAUCCAUGAGGGUUAUUAGUGGAAACCUAGCAUUGGGUUGAAGGCCGGGUAGCAUCUGCUUUCUGAGAAGUGGUUAGAUGCAGGUUGAAUUUCUUUCGAGCGGGUUAUCAGUGUUUAUGUGGGAUCUUGUUAAGGUUGUUUAUGCUUGUGGGAAUCAGUCUGCGUGUAAGUGUUGGUUUUGUGCAGAGUUGUUCUGGGUGGUCGGUGUUGGUGACCGGUGGUUGUUGAUCAGUGCUACAAGUGAGGGAGAAUUGGAAAAUUCUCCGGGAGAUCGAUGAGUAUUUGAGGGUGCUUAGCUGUUGGGAUUCAGCAGUGGUUCUAUCAGUCAAGAGUAUAGGCUGGUACGAGUAAGUGGCAGGCAUGCGGGGCGGGGUACAGACCUAGGCUAUUCGAUUGUGGAGGGCCUGGGAGCAGGCCAGGAUCGAGCAUGUGCGAUUGAGACAGAGUUCGCAACCCUUAAAGGGCUAGAACAGUAUGCAUGGGAGGAUUUCCGGGAGAGAUAGCUCGGAAUGAUGAAUGUUAGUUGGGCGGUCCGGAUAGACUGAAGGCCGGUGGGUGUACCAGUCAAGCCGAAGGCUCGAGUCGGAGAACGGUCCAGCUAAACUGAAGGAACUGAGAGCGGUCCAGAUUGGCUGAAGGUUCUGAGGGUGGUCCAGAUUGGCUGAAGGCCUAGUGAGGCGGUCCAGUCAUGCUGAAGACUCUGCAGGUUUUGUUGGAUCGGUUCGAGGGUAUGAAUUAAGUUUGUUGCGAAGUGUUAGCAUUAGAAGGUCUGGCCCCGGGUAUUGAUCUUGAGUAGUUGAGAUAGUGCACGGGCUUGAGAGUCCCUGUGAUUAGAGUCAGAGUAUGUGUGUUGGAUGGAUAGCGGAUAUGCUAUAAAAGGGUGGUGUAGCAUUGGGCAAGCACCGUGGCACUUGUCGGAGUGGCAGUGUGGCCAAGUGGAUUCCUUGGUAAAGGAAGAGAGAGAGGUAUGUAACUCCGAGAGGGAGUGCAAGUUCACGGAAGUGAAAGCGGCAUAGCAGAGUUAUGAUUAGAGCAAUUCGAGUAUGGUUAUUGAGCAGCGUGUUUGCGGCAGUGGAAUAGAAGCACAUCUGGUUUGGGAUGUCUGCUGAGGUCGCGGAGGGAAUUCCGCAGGUGUAGAGCCAAGAGGCUCGGAAGGGAUGCAGGGAGAGAGUCUUGGGCUCUCAGUGUGAUUCUGAUCAGGGAAUUGGGUAUGUAUUAGUGGUUCAUCCUGGGGGAUGUUUGAGGAUAUCAUCAGUGUAUCGGGUUUUCCCAACCUGAGGGUGCUAGAGCUAGUUCAGCAGGUGUAUGUGAUUGCAAGAGGAGAACUCAUGGGAGUUGCUCUGAUAUUGAAGAAUGGGUCUUUCCUUCAGCAUGGAAUGGGUAGAGUGGGAUUCGGAUCGGGGAUCCGAUGGUUCAUGGUUUUCUAGCUCAUAUGGGUCGAGUAAUGGUUGUGAUUUGGUGCAGUGAUGCAUCUUGGGUAUUUCUCGAUUGUUGAGUGUGAUUAUCAGAGGGUACAGCCGGUGCCCGGUUUGAGACGGUGGUCAGGACACCGCAAGGAAAGAGGAAAUGAGUUCGAGUUUUGAUGGUUAUGCCUUGAGGAACCUGGUCCGGUUAGGGCCAAGUGGCGCGUCGUGGGAGUAUUUUGGAACUGAGUUGCCGCAGGCUUCGAGGACGAAGCCUAAUGUAAGUGGGGGAGAAUUGUAACAUCCCGGAAUAUCAAGAGUAGAGUUGAAGGGCUAAAAGAGUAAAUUGGGAAAAAGCGACUCAGCGAGUCCAUGGGUGGACUCGGCGAGUAGAGUCACGACUUGGUCGCGUGUCAAGUGGCCGACUCGGCGAGUCAGUAAGAUAGACUCGGCGAGUAGGCGCUGAGUGGAGCAAAGCCUAAUUCUCGAGGUUAAGCCCUAUAUAAAGAACAUAACAUCCAUUCCCCAGCCUCUUUACUCAUCCUCAUGUCCAGAAACCCUAACCUUCAUAUGUGAGUGGAUCAAGUUGCAUUUGGGAGCUUGGAGAAGCAAUUGUUGAGGAAAUCUUGAAGGGUAGGAGGCUUGGAGCAAGGGGCUUUGCUUGGAUUCGAGUUCCAUUGCAGUUGGGGCGUUCUUUUGAGGUAAUAUCUCAUCCUUGGGCUGUUACUCUUUGGAUUCAUCAUUAUGGGGUUUGUGGGGAGCUUAUCUUUUGGUGUUUUGGAGUUUAGAGGUUAGAUCUGAGGUUGCUACCUCAGAUAUGGAAUGGAGAAGGGUUGGAAUGCCUGAAAGUCCCUGUGUUUGAGUGUGUAGUGAUGCUAUCAUGUGCCAAACCCUAGCCCUAAAGUGUAUAAGGCCUAGAUCUCUUUGAAUUCACGUAAAGUUUGCCACUUUACGUGAUGGAUGGGUUGUAGGAGGCUAGAUAUAUGUUUUGGAUAAAUUGCAUGGCCUGGAAUGCUUUUGUAUGGAUUCAGACCGGUGGUACUCGGCGAGUCACAUGGGUGAACUCGACGAGUUGCUUGAAGAUAGGAUGGAACUCGACGAGUUGGAAGAACAACUCGGCGAGUUGGAUGAAGAUGGCCUGGAACUCGGCGAGUUGUAUGAACAACUCGGCGAGUAGGUUGAAGAUAGCCUUAGACUCGGCGAGUCUGUUCUUGGACUCGGCGAGUCUUGUCGAAGAGUCCCAAUAUUUUCUGGUUGAGUCGAGAAUCGGCGAGUCAAUGGAUGACUCGAUGAGUUGUGGGCGAGUGGACUCAGAGUUGUUGGACUCAACGAGUCUCGGGGUGACAUGGCGAGUUAGGUCGCGGAUUGAGGGAAGUUCUGAGUAUGGGGACUCGGCGAGUCAUCGGGUUGACUCGGCGAGUAGAGUCGGUCAGGGGUUGACUUUGACCUUGUCUUUGACCAAGGGUUGACCAGUGGAUUCCAGGGGCAUUUUGGUAAUUAUUGAUUAUUGUUUUGAGUUCAGUGCCUUGGUGGUUGUCCAGUGGUGGAGAUCUUAUCAGUGGUCGGAGCAGCUUGGGUUAUCUGUUCAGUCGGCAGUAUCGAGGUGAGUUAUCCUCACUAUAUCAACAGGGUUUAAGGCACCAAGGCCGACCCUUAUCGGAUUGAGAUCCGGGUAGUUGUUGUUAUGUUAUUUCUUUGAUAUGUUUGCAUCCUGAGAGCUAGGAUGGUAUAUGUUAGAGACCUGGUUGAGAUUGGUAUCCUGAGAGAUAGGGUGAUGCUAUGCUAGUGACCUGUUAGGUCGGUAUCCUGGUUAGGAUGAUGAUAUGUUAUGUGAUCUGUUUGAUCUGCUUGUUGACUGUGAAUUGCUAUAUGAUUGUAUGUAUAUGUGCACAUGGUUGUUUGGACUGGAGUUGGGUUGAGGCGGGUCCUGCUUUGUGCUGUAGGCCAAGAUACCCAGGGCGGACCGGUUGUUCCGAAGGCCCAGCGAGCGGUCCGGAUAGGCUGUAGGCCCCAAGAGGGCGGACCAGACGUGCCGAGGCUCGGAGAGUGGACCAGGCCGACUGAAGGCCCGGUGUGGGCGGACCAGUCAUACUGUAGACUCAGAGAGUGGAUCAGGUGGAUGGAAGGCCCGGUGCGGGCGGACCAAUCACGCUGUAGACUCGAGGUUUAUGGCUAGACUCAGAGAGUGGACCAGGUGGACUGUAGGCCGGUGCGGCGGACCAGUCACACAGUAGACCCGAAGUGCAUGACUGUUCUGUGAUCGGAUAUGUUAUGGAAUUUUAUGCAUGUAAGGUUCUUCAGGAGACCAUGCCAAGGCGAAGGCGUGAUCGUACCGCUCCUCGUGAUUUUGUAGUAAUGUGAUUCUGGGAAUACGUUAAAUGCUUUGUAUUGAAAACCUUUUUGUAAAGAUUUAAUGGAAUCGAGUUGUUUUUGAAAAAUUUUAAAAUUGGUUGUAUUUUUCGGUUGUUACAAAAUUAAGUUAAAUUACGCCACCACGGCAAAACGAAGUCAAGUUCUAUCCUACGUGACAUAUAAAAAUCCCCGUUAAGAAGCAGGUAAAUGAAUAUAUUUAAAUAAACUUACCAACCUUAAUGUAAAAAAGUAUAUUCUUAAUUUAAUUAGUACUUAAUUUAAAAAGGAAGGUUGAUGUUGUGACUUCAAAAAGAGAAGGAAUAUGGGGUUUUAUGCGAAAAAUUCCUAAUAUUUUUGGAAUUUUUUUUGAUAAAGUCCCAAAAAAAAUUUGAACAGAAAAGUCCCAUUAUUUUGAGAAAAUCACAUAAUCUGUCAUUUGCUAUUCAAAUAUAAAAAAUGAAUGAAGUUCUAGUUUCUGUUCAUUUCCAAGAAUAAAUAUUUGCACACUAAUUGUUUGAUCAAAUGCCUAAGAGGGAUUUAUAUAUGUGAUUCACAUGUGAUUCACUUGUGAAUCACAUGAGAUUUACUUGUAAUUCACAUAUUAAUCACAUGUAAUUCACAUGUAAAUCACAAGUGAAUCACAUAUGAAUUACAUGUGAUUUACAUGUAAAUCACAUCUAACUUGUCACACCCCCAAACCGAGUUGGCGGAAACAUUCGGGGCGGAGGACAUCAUGUACAGUAUCACAACAAUGCAUAAUAGUAAACAAGCAACAAAAUCUGUUGCAUUAAUAUUAUAAUUUAAUUCAAGUGUGUUCUGUAUAAAUUUAAGACACCAAAAAUGAAUGAUCAAAAUAAAGACGAGUCUUGAAAGCUCCGUCUUCUCAAAA